rnacentral:rRNA from 1 species
GGACGAACGCUGGCGGCGUGCCUAAUACAUGCAAGUAGAACGCUGAAGAGAGGAGCUUGCUCUUCUUGGAUGAGUUGCGAACGGGUGAGUAACGCGUAGGUAACCUGCCUUGUAGCGGGGGAUAACUAUUGGAAACGAUAGCUAAUACCGCAUAACAAUGGAUGACACAUGUCAUUUAUUUGAAAGGGGCAAUUGCUCCACUACAAGAUGGACCUGCGUUGUAUUAGCUAGUAGAUGAGGUAAUGGCUCACCUAGGCGACGAUACAUAGCCGACCUGAGAGGGUGAUCGGCCACACUGGGACUGAGACACGGCCCAGACUCCUACGGGAGGCAGCAGUAGGGAAUCUUCGGCAAUGGGGGCAACCCUGACCGAGCAACGCCGCGUGAGUGAAGAAGGUUUUCGGAUCGUAAAGCUCUGUUGUAAGUCAAGAACGGGUGUGAGAGUGGAAAGUUCACACUGUGACGGUAGCUUACCAGAAAGGGACGGCUAACUACGUGCCAGCAGCCGCGGUAAUACGUAGGUCCCGAGCGUUGUCCGGAUUUAUUGGGCGUAAAGCGAGCGCAGGCGGUUUGAUAAGUCUGAAGUUAAAGGCUGUGGCUCAACCAUAGUUCGCUUUGGAAACUGUCAAACUUGAGUGCAGAAGGGGAGAGUGGAAUUCCAUGUGUAGCGGUGAAAUGCGUAGAUAUAUGGAGGAACACCGGUGGCGAAAGCGGCUCUCUGGUCUGUAACUGACGCUGAGGCUCGAAAGCGUGGGGAGCGAACAGGAUUAGAUACCCUGGUAGUCCACGCCGUAAACGAUGAGUGCUAGGUGUUGGAUCCUUUCCGGGAUUCAGUGCCGCAGCUAACGCAUUAAGCACUCCGCCUGGGGAGUACGACCGCAAGGUUGAAACUCAAAGGAAUUGACGGGGGCCCGCACAAGCGGUGGAGCAUGUGGUUUAAUUCGAAGCAACGCGAAGAACCUUACCAGGUCUUGACAUCCCGAUGCUAUUUCUAGAGAUAGAAAGUUACUUCGGUACAUCGGUGACAGGUGGUGCAUGGUUGUCGUCAGCUCGUGUCGUGAGAUGUUGGGUUAAGUCCCGCAACGAGCGCAACCCCUAUUGUUAGUUGCCAUCAUUCAGUUGGGCACUCUAGCGAGACUGCCGGUAAUAAACCGGAGGAAGGUGGGGAUGACGUCAAAUCAUCAUGCCCCUUAUGACCUGGGCUACACACGUGCUACAAUGGUUGGUACAACGAGUUGCGAGUCGGUGACGGCGAGCUAAUCUCUUAAAGCCAAUCUCAGUUCGGAUUGUAGGCUGCAACUCGCCUACAUGAAGUCGGAAUCGCUAGUAAUCGCGGAUCAGCACGCCGCGGUGAAUACGUUCCCGGGCCUUGUACACACCGCCCGUCACACCACGAGAGUUUGUAACACCCGAAGUCGGUGAGGUAACCUUUUGGAGCCAGCCGCCUAAGGUGGG